GUAGCUAUAUUUAUGCUAGCAGAGGUCUGAAAAUCCUUGUGUCGGCAGUUCGAUUCUGUCCCGAGCCA
rnacentral:tRNA from 1 species